rnacentral:rRNA from 1 species
GACGAACGCUGGCGGCGUGCUUAACACAUGCAAGUCGAACGGAAAGGCCCUGCUUUUGUGGGGUGCUCGAGUGGCGAACGGGUGAGUAACACGUGAGUAACCUGCCCUUGACUUUGGGAUAACUUCAGGAAACUGGGGCUAAUACCGGAUAGGAGCUCCUGCUGCAUGGUGGGGGUUGGAAAGUUUCGGCGGUUGGGGAUGGACUCGCGGCUUAUCAGCUUGUUGGUGGGGUAGUGGCUUACCAAGGCUUUGACGGGUAGCCGGCCUGAGAGGGUGACCGGCCAAAUUGGGACUGAGAUACGGCCCAGACUCCUACGGGAGGCAGGAGUGGGGAAUAAUGCACAAUGGGCGGAAGCCUGAUGCAGCAACGCCGCGUGCGGGAUGACGGCCUUCGGGUUGUAAACCGCUUUCGCCUGUGACGAAGCGUGAGUGACGGUAAUGGGUAAAGAAGCACCGGCUAACUACGUG